AUUGAACGCUGGCGGCAUGCUUUACACAUGCAAGUCGAACGGCAGCGGGGGCUUCGGCCUGCCGGCGAGUGGCGAACGGGUGAGUAAUGCAUCGGAACGUGCCCAUGUCGUGGGGGAUAACUACGCGAAAGCGUGGCUAAUACCGCAUACGCCCUGAGGGGGAAAGCGGGGGAUCUUUCGGGACCUCGCGCGAUUGGAGCGGCCGAUGUCGGAUUAGCUAGUUGGUGGGGUAAAGGCGCACCAAGGCGACGAUCCGUAGCUGGGCUGAGAGGAGGAUCAGCCACACUGGGACUGAGACACGGCCCAGACUCCUACGGGAGGCAGCAGUGGGGAAUUUUGGACAAUGGGCGCAAGCCUGAUCCAGCCAUGCCGCGUGAGUGAAGAAGGCCUUCGGGUUGUAAAGCUCUUUCGGCCGGGAAGAAAUCGCAUUCUCUAAUAUAGGAUGUGGAUGACGGUACCGGACUAAGAAGCACCGGCUAACUACGUGCCAGCAGCCGCGGUAAAAC
rnacentral:rRNA from 1 species